rnacentral:rRNA from 1 species
GACGAACGCUGGCGGCGUGCUUAACACAUGCAAGUCGAGCGGUAAGGCCCUUUCGGGGGUACACGAGCGGCGAACGGGUGAGUAAUACGUGGGUGACCUGCCCUCAGCUCUGGGAUAAGCCUGGGAAACUGGGUCUAAUACCGGAUAUGACUCCAUGACGCAUGUUGUGGGGUGGAAAGCCUUGUGCGGCUGAGGAUGGGCCCGCGGCCUAUCAGCUUGUUGGUGGGGUGANGGCCUACCAAGGCGACGACGGGUAGCCGGCCUGAGAGGGCGACCGGCCACACUGGGACUGAGACACGGCCCAGACUCCUACGGGAGGCAGCAGUGGGGAAUCUUGCGCAAUGGGCGAAAGCCUGACGCAGCGACGCCGCGUGAGGGAUGACGGCCU